rnacentral:rRNA from 1 species
UACUAUGUUACGACUUAUCUCAUCUUUAGUAAGAAUAAGUAAUGAGAGCGACGGGCGAUGUGUGCAUAUUAUAGAGCUAUAAAUCAUUUCAAUAAUCUUUAUAAAAUUACAAUUAAAUCCACCUUCAAAUUAUUUUUUCAAUAACAAUCCAUAUAAAUACAAUUUAUUGUAAUCCAUUAUUCAACUUAUAUAUUACUGCACCUUGACUUGAAAUCUUAAUUAAUAUUAUAUUCAGAAAAUUACCUAAAAGUAUAUUCAUAAACAGCGGUAUACAAGAAAUAAUAUAAGUAAGGUUCAACGUGGACUAUCGAUUACAUAACAGAUUCCUCUAAAUAGACUAUAAUACCGCCAAAUUCUUUAAGUUUCAAGACCAUACCUACUAAUACUCUAGUUUAUUAACUUUACAUAAAAUAUAGGGUAUCUAAUCCUAGUUU